AACGAACGCUGGCGGCAUGCCUAACACAUGCAAGUCGAACGAGACCUUCGGGUCUAGUGGCGCACGGGUGCGUAACGCGUGGGAACCUGCCCUUAGGUUCGGAAUAACUCCCCGAAAGGGGUGCUAAUACCGGAUAAUGUCUUCGGACCAAAGAUUUAUCGCCUUUGGAUGGGCCCGCGUUGGAUUAGCUAGUUGGUAGGGUAAAAGCCUACCAAGGCGACGAUCCAUAGCUGGUCUGAGAGGAUGAUCAGCCACACUGGGACUGAGACACGGCCCAGACUCCUACGGGAGGCAGCAGUGGGGAAUAUUGGACAAUGGGCGAAAGCCUGAUCCAGCAAUGCCGCGUGAGUGAUGAAGGCCUUAGGGUUGUAAAGCUCUUUUACCCGGGAUGAUAAUGACAGUACCGGGAGAAUAAGCUCAGGCUAACUCCGUG
rnacentral:rRNA from 1 species